rnacentral:snRNA from 1 species
CUUCCUUCGGGGACACAAGAUAAAACUGGAACGAUAUAGAGAAGAUUAGCAUGGCCCCUGCGCAAGGAUGACACGCAUGAAUCGAGAAAUGGUCCAAAUUUUU